GGGGUGUGUGUGUGACGGUGUGUGUGAGGGUGUGUGUGUGAGGGUGUGUGAGGGUGUGUGAGGGUGUGUGUGUGAGGGUGUGUGAGGGUGUGUGAGGGUGUGUGUGAGGGUGUGUGUGUGAGGGUGCCGUGAGGGUGUGUGUGAGGGUGUGUGUGGGUGUGUGUGUGUGUGAGGGUGUGUAUGUGUGAAAGGCACUGGGAAAAGAAUCCCAUGCUAAAUGCCCAAGAGCCCAGAGGAGAGGAAGACGGGGCCAGGAGCCUACAGAGGAGGAAGGGUAGCCAUUCUGGGCCUGGAGACCCCCACCUUCCUCCCCUAAAAUACAGGGAAGAAGAAGGCCUGCCCUAGAGGCCAGUAGGAGCUGAGCAAAAGGAAUCCUAAGUCCAAGAGAGGAGCAGAGGACCUGGCCGCCAGCUCCACCCUCCCUCCCAGGGCCAAAUUUAGCCUGGGCUUAGAAGCUGCGGCCCAGCCAGCUCAUUAAAGGGCCCACGACCCUUUGGGCCUGUGCUGUCAGACCCACCCGGGCCCUAGGACACCUCCAGCCCUCAGAGCUCCCAGCCCCUUCAUCCCAGAGCCCAGCUCCCAGCCCCAUUCCCUGGAUCCCCAGCUGGCCAUGGCAUUAACACCCCAAAGCCCUUCUGGCGCCUGCCUCACCCAACCCAGAUCCCUCUUCUGUGGGCCCUCCACACCUCCGUCUUACCACCCCUAAAUCCUGCCCCCUCAUCCUGGGCCUCCCCGCUGAACAAGGCCCCAACUUGCCCACGAGGAGAGGAGUCCAGAAGAGUGUCUCAGCCAUGGCUGCCCGGCCUGGCCCGCCCGGCCAAGCUGGGUGUCCCCUUAGCCCCUGCGUGCUUUCCUGGGCACAACACAAUCACACAGACUGCUCCAAGCUCCUCGAAGACUAGGAUCUUGUCACGUUUGUAUCCUUGGGCCUGGCACAGGGCCUGGUAACUAGUAGGUGUAGCUGGCUGGCGGCAGCUUCCUUAACAGCAAACGUAGGUGCCAUCCACCCAGCCUUUAUCCCCAGUCCAAGCACUUCAGCGUGGAGGUCUAGCAAGCCCUGGACAGGACCAGCCAGCUAGAGACAGGUGAGCGGAGGAGGCACCCUCUCUGGCCCAUGGAGUCAGGGUUCAUUCGGCGCAUAGACUUGGAGGCCUGGAGGUGGGCCACCUUGGCCACUUGCUGGGGAUGAGGCCUUGAGUGCACCAUUUGCCCUCUAGCCCAUUUCCACAACUAUAAACUGGCAAGAAUAGUGCUUGCCUCUUGGCAUCAUUGUGAGGACUCCACAAAGUAAUGAAUGCAGCGCAUAUUUAUGAAACACCUGCUAUGUAUCAGACAUUGAAAUUGCAAAGAUAAGCAAACCUCUGCCCACAUGGAGGUCACCUGCCAGUGGGUAAUACCAGCUAGCGCUGCCAGCUACUGUGCUGAGAAUCUUACAUAUAUCUACCUAUAUUACCUCAUUCCAUCUCCUCAGCAGUUCCAUGAGGCAGGUAUUAUUACUGUGCCCAUUUAACAGAUGAUAAAACUGAGGCACAGGGGUGUAUACCUUCCCCAAGGCCACAUUGCUGAUGAGUAGAAUGCAUGUGGACGGCUUAGCCCAGUGCCUGGCUCAGUCGAUGACUGUGCUGCUGAUGUACUUGCCCGGCCCUGCUUCCCCUUCCUUCUUGCCUCUGCCAAAGGAUCUCAGUCCAGG
rnacentral:lncRNA from 1 species